rnacentral:rRNA from 1 species
CACGUAGUUAGCCGUGGCUUAUUCGACAGGUACUGUCUUCUGCUCUUCCCUGUCAAAAGAAGUUUACAACCCGAAAGCCUUCUUCCUUCACGCGGCGUUGCUGGGUCAGGCUUGCGCCCAUUGCCCAAUAUUCCCCACUGCUGCCUCCCGUAGGAGUCUGGGCCGUAUCUCAGUCCCAAUGUGGCCGGCCAACCUCUCAGUCCGGCUACUGAUCGUCGCCUUGGUAGGCCGUUACCCUACCAACUAGCUAAUCAGACGCGAGGCCAUCUCUCAGCGAUAAAUCUUUGGUACCAGUACCAUGCGAUACCCGUACGUUAUGCGGUAUUAGCAGUCGUUUCCAACUGUUGUCCCCCCCUGAAAGGCAGGUUCCUCACGCGUUACUCACCCGUCCGCCACUAAGUAGUCCUCUCCAUUGACCGAAAUCUUCUUCGAGGUACUCCGUUCGUACUUGCAUGUAGUUAAGCACGCCGCCAGCGUUCGUCCUGCGCGACGGAGUACAACUCUACUCGAGACGUCGACCGAAC